AAUCUGGCUACAGAUGGUAAAUCAGUUUUUUUGUUGUUGUUGUUCUUUGGUGUUUUUGUUUUUGUUUUUGUGCAUAUACAACUGACUUUACAGAAAGGAAAUAGAAACCAUAAACUGUAGAAAAUAAAGGGAAUUAGUUAAAUAUUAAAUCAUUCCCAACAGCUAUUUUUAAAGUAAAUAAGAAUCCCCAAGUCACAUUCUGGCUUUUCCUUGAAUAAUUUAGAAAAGCAUAUACCUUCAUAAAGAUUUAAGUACAACUUGGAUGGAAGAGCCUGUGGGUGCUCAGGUAGAGAUGACCUUGGGUCAGUGAGAAGGGUACUAUGGUAGAGAUGAUGUUGGAUCAGUGGUACAAGGUGCUGGGGUAGAGAUGACCUUGGGUCAGUAGGACAAUUGCUGGGAUACAAAUGAUCUUGUGUCAGUGGGACAGACAGGUUAGCAUCUGUCUGUCUGUGAUGGGGCUAUGGUAAAUGCUACAAUGUUCUUAAUGUCCUUCCCUCACAUCAAGAAAGCCACAGGUGAAGUGGUGCUGUGGGCACAGUGUUUUGAAGAAAAAAAAAUAAGAUCUCUCCAUCGCAUCCUGCAAUUCACAGUGUGAAAUGGGGGUCAAGAUGAUGACAGGAAGGUUACAACAGCAGGGCAAGUUCUACUGAAAAAUUGUUUCCUUUAACUGUCACCCAUGAUUCUUGUUAUCUUACCAAAUCCUGCCUGAUGUUUAUUAAUAACAUAAAUCAAACCUUGGCAUCUACCUGAUGACUGAAAGCCACUGAAGAACAGAAAGAAAAUUCAAGAAUCUGUCUUCACCUCUUCUUCACACCUCCAUUCAUUUCCAUUUAUAACCCAGCAAUGAAACUGAUCAAAUCACAUGACCUCAAAAGAUGGAAGUAAGCCUGCACAGAUUCAAAAGUAUGGUUAUAUAU
rnacentral:lncRNA from 1 species